rnacentral:rRNA from 1 species
GGGAAUCUACCGUGCCCUGCGGAAUAGCUCCGGGAAACUGGAAUUAAUACCGCAUACGCCCUACGGGGGAGAGAUUUAUCGGGGUAUGAUGAGCCCGCGUUGGAUUAGCUAGUUGGUGGGGUAAAGGCCUACCAAGGCGACGAUCCAUAGCUGGUCUGAGAGGAUGAUCAGCCACAUUGGGACUGAGACACGGCCCAAACUCCUACGGGAGGCAGCAGUGGGGAAUAUUGGACAAUGGGCGCAAGCCUGAUCCAGCCAUGCCGCGUGAGUGAUGAAGGCCUUAGGGUUGUAAAGCUCUUUCACCGGAGAAGAUAAUGACGGUAUCCGGAGAAGAAGCCCCGGCUAACUUCGUGCCAGCAGCCGCGGUAAUACGAAGGGGGCUAGCGUUGUUCGGAAUUACUGGGCGUAAAGCGCACGUAGGCGGAUAUUUAAGUCAGGGGUGAAAUCCCAGAGCUCAACUCUGGAACUGCCUUUGAUACUGGGUAUCUUGAGUAUGGAAGAGGUAAGUGGAAUUCCGAGU